GAUGAACGCUGGCGGCGUGCUUAACACAUGCAAGUCGAACGAGAGAAGAUCGGCGCUUGCACUGAUCCGAUCGAGUGGCGGACGGGUGAGUAACGCGUGGGUAACCUGCCUCAUACAAGGGAAUAACAGUCGGAAACGGCUGCUAAAACCGCAUAAGCGCACAGUAUCGCAUGAUACAGUGUGAAAAACUCCGGUGGUAUGAGAUGGACCCGCGUCUGAUUAGCUAGUUGGUGAGGUAACGGCCCACCAAGGCAACGAUCAGUAGCCGGCCUGAGAGGGUGAACGGCCACAUUGGGACUGAGACACGGCCCAAACUCCUACGGGAGGCAGCAGUGGGGAAUAUUGCACAAUGGGGGAAACCCUGAUGCAGCGACGCCGCGUGAGUGAUGAAGUAUUUCGGUAUGUAAAGCUCUAUCAGCAGGGAAGAUAAUGACGGUACCUGACUAAGAAGCACCGGCUAAAUACGUGCCAGCAGCCGCCGUAA
rnacentral:rRNA from 1 species